UUUUCAUUUCUAGAUUGACAAAUUUAGCGAUGCUUCGAAUAAUUCUAAUCGCAAUUGCUAUUUUAGCAGUAACUGAAACACAGCAGUACGAAACCUGCAACCUCCAAUUUGUGGACGACUACACGUGUAACAAAGAUAACCUCUGUUACUAUGGUUGCCACAAGGGGUAUUGUUGGAGUCAGUGUAAUGGUUUGAGCGAGAUGAUUUGGGAUGGUCCCCCCGGCACAUGUCAUACUGGUUAUCCGCACAUUGAAUGGUGUUGGUCAAGUGGGGCAGACUCUGCCUGCAUGAUAGACUCCGACUGUGAGAAAGUAAAGAAUAACAGCUGCAGAGGAACUUGCUCUGUUGGUUAACUACGUGUAGUCAGAGUAAUGGGAGGGCAACAG